AAACGGACUCCGACUUGGCUUUGUUGCUGCUGAAAUUGAUUUUGCCGGUCUUGCAAAAUUACACGCUAUAUGCAUGAGUCAUGGCAGGAAUGGAGGAGGCUGAGCUCCCCUUUGGAGGUGAUUCUUGAGGCGAGGGAAAGAGCCCAUCAAGACGACUGCACCAAAUAUCAUGGAAAUGAGCCAGAAGACAAACCGUCCAUGCAAAUGGCCCUGUCAGGGAUGAGGUUUGCACCAGGCACCACACUGAGGCGCGCUGCUUGGAUCACAAUGGGUCAUUGGAAUUGGAGGCUUUAAUGUAGCAAGACAAGUAGAAACCCCACAAAAUGGUCAUGCAAUUUCACAGGAAGGGAGUUCUUGUCAUGGAACAGUGUAUGUACAGGUUAGCAGCAGCUGAAAUGUUGACAAUAUAAGUGGGCAUAAA